ACGGCCCGAGCAGCGCCGCCCCGCCGCACAAUGCCCUUCGCGGGGGCGCGCCGCUCGAGGAAAGGGGGGGCGUGCCCGACGGCGCGCGCGCGCGCACGCCCCGACGCGUUCCUUUCCUUUCUUCCCCCCCCCCCCCCAUUUUCACCACCCCCCUCUCGGACGGUAUGCAGAGUGGUGGUCGUAAAACGAACUCCCCCCCCUCACUCCCGGAGAAGUCCCGUCGUUAAAACGAUGCUUUCCAAAGCCUGAUCUCCUAAGCCCGUCCUUGUCAACGCCGGGGAAGAAACCACCAAAAAAUACCUCACGAAGAGUUCAUCAGCUAGACUGCGCCUACACAAGGAGGUUCUACCUGCAGAACCAGAAAUUUUAAAUGAGAUGAACGACUUGAUCUUUCACCGCCGAAACAGCCGCUUGUGCGUCUGAUGGAAGAGACAUCUCCGUAUUAAAUGGAAAUAAUGGGAAGGAGUAUUUAUUUUUCGCCCCGGGAAAGAAAAUCACUCAAAAGGAAGUCUCACUGCGCCUGCAUGGAUGAGAACAGCUGUCAUGGCUCAUAAGGAAGCUAAACUGUUGUACCUAUUUGGGAGACUUUUCCCUAACUGUUCAUUUUCACACUCCAUGUUUAAAAAUAAAACCACUUUUACGGAACAAUAA